UCGGACUUCUCCGAUUACAUUUCGGCUUCGGAAAAUAAAUAUGGUGGACUUAAGUGUCGGUGGAAGUAAUUUAUCAAGUAAUUUGUGAGCUACCAAUUAUUAUUUUAGUUGCAUGAAGGCCAGAUAGGCACUCCUCGCAUAUCCAGGUACCCUGUGGUUCAUUUUGAAUUCCAGCACAUGUGUCCUAGAAGAUAUAAUGGAAAUAUUAAUCGCUGCAGACAAUGAAUUUAGCUACAAAAGAUGAUUGUUGCUAGGUAACUGGCAUAUAUAGUCUAUACUAAAACUUGCGUGGUUGGAUUCAUUUCCAGAAGUAAAAUGGCAUAUCAUAAGCAUUAAUUUAAAGCAUUACCUUUGGAGUGAUUGCCAAGCUUACACCAAGAAAACUGUCAUCACUUACUGAUAAAGACUCACAGGAAUCACACUUCACUGAAAUUUAUAGGAAUAGAACAAAUGUACUAUUAGUAAGAAAUUAGUUUGAAAAGGUCAAUAUCUUAGUUGAGACUAUAGCUUUAUAAAAGUAUAUGACUUUGUAUUAUAUCCAAACUUAGAAAAUGAAUAUAGAGUACAAUUUUUUGCA